CUACGGGUUGCUGCAGUGAGGAAUAUUGCACAAUGGGGGGAACCCUGAUGCAGCAACGCCGCGUGGAGGAUGACGCAUUUCGGUGUGUAAACUCCUUUUAUAUGCCAAGAAAAUGACGGUAGCAUAUGAAUAAGCACCGGCUAACUCCGUGCCAGCAGCCGCGGUAAUAGCGGAGGGUGCAAGCGUUACUCGGAAUCACUGGGCGUAAAGGACGCGUAGGCGGGUUGGAAAGUCAGGUGUGAAAUCCUACAGCUUAACUGUAGAACUGCACUUGAAACUUCUAAUCUAGAGUAUGGGAGGGGGAGAUGGAAUUAGUGGUGUAGGGGUAAAAUCCGUAGAUAUCACUAGGAAUACCUAAAGCGAAGGCGAUCUCCUGGAACAUUACUGACGCUAAGGCGUGAAAGCGUGGGGAGCAAACAGGAUUAGAUACCUUGGUAGUC
rnacentral:rRNA from 1 species